rnacentral:rRNA from 1 species
UACGGGGGGGGCAAGCGUUGUUCGGAAUUACUGGGCGUAAAGGGCUCGUAGGCGGCCAACUAAGUCAGACGUGAAAUCCCUCGGCUUAACCGGGGAACUGCGUCUGAUACUGGAUGGCUUGAAUCCGGGAGAGGGAUGCGGAAUUCCAGGUGUAGCGGUGAAAUGCGUAGAUAUCUGGAGGAACACCGGUGGCGAAGGCGGCAUCCUGGACCAACACUGACGCUGAUGAGCGAAAGCCAGGGGAGCAAACGGG